rnacentral:rRNA from 1 species
GACGAACGCUGGCGGCGUGCCUAAUACAUGCAAGUCGAACGCUGAAGGAGGAGCUUGCUUCUCUGGAUGAGUUGCGAACGGGUGAGUAACGCGUAGGUAACCUGCCUGGUAGCGGGGGAUAACUAUUGGAAACGAUAGCUAAUACCGCAUAAGAGUAGAUGUUGCAUGACAUUUACUUAAAAGGUGCAAUUGCAUCACUACCAGAUGGACCUGCGUUGUAUUAGCUAGUUGGUGAGGUAACGGCUCACCAAGGCAACGAUACAUAGCCGACCGGAGAGGGGGAUCGGCCACCCUGGGACUGAGACCCGGCCCAGACUCCUACGGGAGGCAGCAGUAGGGAAUCUUCGGCAAUGGACGGAAGUCUGACCGAGCAACGCCGCGUGAGUGAAGAAGGUUUUCGGAUCGUAAAGCUCUGUUGUAAGAGAAGAACGAGUGUGAGAGUGGAAAGUUCACACUGUGACGGUAUCUUACCAGAAAGGGACGGCUAACUACGUG